rnacentral:rRNA from 1 species
UGCAAGUCGCGGGAGAAGCGGCCCUUCGGGGCCUGCGGAGACCGGCGGAUGGGUGAGUAACGCGUAGGUAAUCUGCCUGUGGUACGGGGAUAACCCACCGAAAGGUGAGCUAAUACCCGAUGAUGCAGCGGCCCCGCAUGGGGACAGUUGUUAAAGGCCUCGGCCGACCACAGAUGAACCUGCGUGCCAUUAGCUAGUUGGUAGGGUCAAAGCCUACCAAGGCCAUGAUGGCUAGGGGGUCUGAGAGGAUGAUCCCCCACACUGGGACUGAGACACGGCCCAGACUCCUACGGGAGGCAGCAGUGAGGAAUCUUGCGCAAUGGAGGAAACUCUGACGCAGCCACGCCGCGUGCUGGAAGACGGCCCUAUGGGUUGUAAACAGCUUUUACUGGGGAAGAACCUGGACCUUUCGAGGACCACUGACGGUACCUAGUGAAUAAGCACCGGCUAACUCCGUGCCAGCAGCCGCGGUAAUACGGAGGGUGCAAGCGUUGUCCGGAAUCAUUGGGUGUAAAGGGUGUGCAGGCGGAAGUCUAAGUCGGAGGUGAAAUCUUGCCGCUUAACGGUAAAAGGGCCUUCGAAACUGGAUUUCUUGAGUUC